rnacentral:snoRNA from 2 species
CCCCUCUCUGGGUUGCACCUGGAGAAUUUCCAGUACUCUACCAGUUUUGACUAUGGUAGGGACAGUCAAGCAGAGGCAUACCCAUUCCAUUCCUAGCUUGGGCAGUGGCUAGUGAGUGGAAGGCAAUCUGCUACAAGU